CUCACUGAGUUGCUGAGGCUGGCUUUGAACUCCUGAUCCUCCUGCCUCAGCCUCCUGAGCUGCUGGGAUUACAGGUGUAGGCUAUCAUUUUUUAAAAGUAGGAAUCAUCAAGGGAGAAAAUGAAAGGAAGGAAUGUGGACGUAGUAGCACCCUCUAAAACAGUGGUUUCCAACUUAAGCCAACAGCAGACCCUUGGAGGGCUUGCUGAACCCAGGCUGCUCCACCAGGUUCAGCAGGUGCAAGGAGGGGCUGAGGCUCUGCAUUGUUAACAUCCCUCCCCACCCAGGGUGACAGUGCUGCUCCAGGGAUCAGCUUUCAGGAUGCAGCUCUAGAAUAGCCUAAUGUGGGUGGUUCCUGAUUUUUAAGCACCCUGAGAUUCAGGACAAGGAAGAAAAUGUGGCAGGGUAGGGGUGAGAGUGACCAGAGGAGGAGGAGCAGAAAGGCAGAGUAUAAACUCGGAGGUGAGGCUCGCCCAGGUGCAUGUCCUCUGAGGGCUAUCAGAGGCGAUGAGGCACCUGGUGGUCUGGGUGCUGCUGGCUGUCUGCAUGUGUGGCCUGGAUGCAGGUGACAGGGAGAGGCUGGUGAGGG
rnacentral:lncRNA from 1 species